ACUUGGGUCUCUGAAUCUCAAGUUUUCAUGGCUACAUCUAAGGCAGAAGGCAAAGAGGUACCUCGUGCAUGUUAGGAGGGGUAUCAGGUCAAGUGGCUGUUAACAGCUCUUUACCCAGGUGCUAAAAUAGCAAAAUCACGUGGGCUUUUCUCCCCGCGUCCGUAACGUGUACGUAACGUAACGUAACGUAACAUACGUAACGUGAGAAUCCCUGUCCCUAAAUCCCCCUGGAGCGGCAGAUUGCUGAGAAGGGGUGCGUGUGACGGUCAUCUCCUGCCAGCUUUACCUGUGAGCUAACAAGAAAGAUGCUAUCCUUGGAGGCGGAGAAAGAAUGAGGCGUUCCCCUGAUCAGAGUCUUCGGAGCAAAAAUCACCAGCCACUUGGGUGAGAGGAUGACUGAACGGCAAACGUACCUCAGAAGUUAGAGAUUGUGAAUUGCUCUGGAGAAUGUCAAGUUUUGUCUCCUGUGGAGCCAUUUGCUUACUUUCAGGAACCUUGAGAUCACGACCUGAGCUGAAGUCUGACGCUUAACAGACUGAGCCAGCCAGGCGCCCUCCAAGGCUGCGCCCUUUCAUAAAAUUGAAUGAAGGACCCCGCUCCCUGCAGCUGAAUCCCAACACUGCUGAUGGAAACAAAGAAUUCUGCGGUGCUGGAUGCAGCUACCACGUGACCCUUCACUUUGACCGUGGCUCCAGCUGCCUGCGUCCCAAACCGACUCUCCUGUUGAUUGCAGCGGCUGCCUUCCCAUAGAAGGAGCCAAUAUUGCUGCAGCACCCCCCACCCCCACCCCCACCCCGGGUAGACCUUCCAGGUACACGGAAUAUAAAAACCCUUAUGUUCCAGACUCCAUUGUCACGGCGCUCCCAGAAGCCCAGGGGCCGGUGGACGGAUCCUUGUAAAGCGCCCCUAUGGCCCUGCUGGCAGGGGACAAGGGGCUCCCGGAGACACGCCCACGGGAAUGGGUUCUGGCCGUUGUAGGACUUGGCUGCACAUUCAUACGUCCGUACGCUUCCGGCUUAGAUUAAGUCAUAUCUGAAUGAGUCAUUCCUCCACCUCCCCAUUUCUCACUCUGACGCCUGCACCCUAGACGCAACAGUGCGUCCUUAACCGGAUUUCUCUCUGUACCCAGCCUGUCACUUCCAGCCCUCUCAGCGGACACCAGCUGGCCUUUCCAAAUGCACAUUUUAAGAUGUCACUCUUCAGCUUAAGUAUCUUUUUUUUUUAAGUUUAUUUGAGACAGAGUUAGCAUGAAUGGGGGAGGGGCAGAGAGAGAGAGGGAGAGAGAGAAUCCCAAGCAGGCUUCUGCACUGCCAACACAGAGCCCCCCAAGGCUGGAACUGAACUCACGAACCGUGAGGUCAUGACCCGAGCCCAAACCAAGAGUCCGGAGGCUUAACCAACUGAGCCACCCAGGCGCCCCAAAAUGUCACUCUUCAGCUUAGAAAACCCCUGGGGGCUCCAGGCAAUGCCUGUCUGAUGAAAUCUAUACCACCCCUCCCCUCCCGCAUCCCCCUCCCCGACUCUGGCACAUGAGGCUUUGAGGGCUCAGUCUCCCUGGCUUCAUCUGCGCUGAUUUCCUCCCAGAACCCCCCUCCAUUCCGCUGCCCAUUCCCACCAGGCCCACUGACGCCUCAUGUACCCAUAUCAAGGGCAGGCCUGACACUCCGCUUGGGGCUCUCACACCUGGAUGCAGAAGGAUCCAAGGGGUACAGAAUCUGUGGCUGUGCUCAGGCCCACGAGGAGCCAGGCAGAUGCCCAAAUAGUCAAAAAAAAAAAAAAAAAAAAAAAAAAAAAAGAUGCUCAAAGAUCUUUUAUUUCCCGGACACCCAGGAAAACUUUCGGUGCCUCUAUUGUGGAAGGCUUUGCGUGCAUAACAAAUCCGGUCUCCCUUCUGAGCACUGAGUUCCUGAAAAUUAUUUCCCCACUCUCCAAAGGAGGGGGAAAAAAUCCUUUCAGGGAUUUUCACAUUAAAUACAACAUAGAGGUGACUAUUUCUCUCAGUCCUAAAGAAAUUAUUUUCCGCCGCUCGGAAGCAAAUUAUUGGAAGUCUUCCAAUAAUGAUGUGUCAAUGUAACAAUACUAUUUUUGGAAACAGAGGUUUGCUGUACCAAUAGCACUCUUGCUCAAACCUGGUUCUAAUGGAAAAUUCUUCCCUGAAACGGAUUACAUAAAUACAGAAAAAAUAUUUGAUAGGGAAAUGUAAUACAAUUUUAAUAAAAUGUAUAAAAAUGGUUUCAACCAAGCUGCUAAAUAAGGAAACUUUCCUUAUUCUAAUGCUUUCUUUACAAUUCUCAAAUUUUUACAUUUCAAAAUUCAAUUUAAUUUUAGUUUUAAUAGUAAAGUUAGAUUUUAAAAAAACCCAAGUGUCAUUUGUUUGGGGGAGGGGGGGUUCUGUGUUUCCUAGUUUUAUAAUGCUCCAGAAUUCACACUUCAAACAUAAUUCACUGAAGUCAUAAACUCCAAAGUGGAUGUGUCUUGUUAUUAUAACAUUGGGGUCUCAAAGUUCAUUAUGUAUCUAGAAAUUUCCUAGAAUGUAUGAUUUGAAAAAGCAAACACAUGAAGCCUCAAAAAAAUUGUACUUUCCUUAUGAACAUUAAUAACUUCCCGUACGAGGAGUGCCUGGGUGGCUCAGUUGGUUAAGCAUCAGAUUCUCGAUUUCAGCUCAGGUCAUGAUCUCAUGGUUUGUAAGUUUGAGCCCCGCAUUGGGGUUCGAGAUGACAGCACGGAGCCUGCUUGGGAUUCUCUCUCUGCCUCUUCCUCGCUCUUUCUCUCUCUUGCUCAAACUAAAUAAACUUAAAAAAAAAAAAAAAGAACUUCCUGUAGGAGACAUAAAUUUGGAGCACAGUUCAGCAGAUGGAACACAGUCAUACAACUGUGACCAUGCAAAUCCUGUGUCACUGGAAGCCAACAGCCCCUGCACGGGCUUUCUGUUCUGUCCCAAGGUUGCAGCCAAGGUGGUAUGAUCCAGAAGCUACCAAUUAGGAUUACCCCGCUAACGCAGGGUUAGCGGUUACUUGUCCCGAGGGUCCUUCCAGCAAUUCUGUAGACCCCUUGUUCCCUGUAUUAAUCCCCUUUUGAUUAAAGUACCUGGAGUGGGGGCGCCUGGGUGGCGCAGUCGGUUAAGCAUCUGACUUCAGCCAGGUCACGAUCUCGCGGUCCGUGAGUUCGAGCCCCGCGUCAGGCUCUGGGCUGAUGGCUCGGAG